rnacentral:lncRNA from 1 species
GCGGCUCACCUUAACCGAGGAAUGACGGCGAGGCGGCGGCGGCGCGGAGCUCGAAGACCUUGACGGCGGCGAGUUUCGGUGAGAUGGGAAACUGAGGCUAGGGUUUGCGGCGGCUAGGGUUGCGUAGGGGCGCGUGCGGGCUAAGGCAUAGGCUAGUUAUAGGCGCGAGCGAACCUCGGUUCGCGUGCGGCUCAGAAGCCGGGGUGGCGGCGCGGCCGUUUGUGAAACGGCCAGAACUUGGGGAUGACAGGUGGGUCCCACCUGUGGGGCCCACCGAUCAGCGGGCGGGAGCGGGGGCGCGCUCUGCGCUGCGGCUGCUGAGCUGCGCGCUGCUGUUGGGCGGGGGGCGCGGCUGGGCCGCGCGCGCGGCUGCUGGCCCACGCGGGCGUGCAGGGGGAAGGGAGGCCGGCCCAUGGCACUUGCCCUUUUCCUUUCUCUUUUUUUUUCUUUUUAUUCAAAAGGGUUUAAACCAAAUUUUCAACACCUUUAUAAACUAAAAUUUGAUUUAUUAAUUUGGGUUAUUUUAAGAAUUGUUUUCUCUGCUGCUUUUGAAAACAAAGCAUUUUUUUUAAUAACAUAUUUUUAAAUUAUUUUUCCACUCAAAUAUAAAUUAGUUUUCAAAUAUGACUUUUGCAGUUUUAUUUUUCCGAAAACCGAAAGGACCUAAACGUGCUCUCUAGAAAUUUUGAAAUUCAUUUUUCCGAGACAAGCCAAACAAAGCUAGGGCACAAAACACACAUCAAAUAAAACACCCUCCACUUAAUUUAUUAAAAGUUUUAAAAU